AUGUGAAUUGCAGAAUUCAGUGAAUCAUCGAAUCUUUGAACGCACAUUGCGCCCAUUAGUAUUCUAGUGGGCAUGCCUAUUCGAGCGUCAUU
rnacentral:rRNA from 1 species